UGCAAGUCGAGCGGUAACAGAUCUAGCUUGCUAGAUGCUGACGAGCGGCGGACGGGUGAGUAAUGCAUAGGAAUCUGCCCGGUAGUGGGGGAUAACCUGGGGAAACCCAGGCUAAUACCGCAUACGUCCUACGGGAGAAAGGGGGCUUCGGCUCCCGCUACGGGAUGAGCCUAUGUCGGAUUAGCUAGUUGGUGAGGUAAAGGCUCACCAAGGCUGCGAUCCGUAGCUGGUCUGAGAGGAUGAUCAGCCACAUCGGGACUGAGACACGGCCCGAACUCCUACGGGAGGCAGCAGUGGGGAAUAUUGGACAAUGGGGGGAACCCUGAUCCAGCCAUGCCGCGUGUGUGAAGAAGGCCUUCGGGUUGUAAAGCACUUUCAGCGAGGAAGAACGCCUAGCGGUUAAUACCCGUUAGGAAAGACAUCACUCGCAGAAGAAGCACCGGCUAACUCCGUGCCAGCAGCCGCGGUAAUACGGAGGGUGCAAGCGUUAAUCGGAAUUACUGGGCGUAAAGCGCGCGUAGGUGGCUUGAUAAGCCGGUUGUGAAAGCCCCGGGCUCAACCUGGGAACGGCAUCCGGAACUGUCAGGCUAGAGUGCAGGAGAGGAAGGUAGAAUUCCCGGUGUAGCGGUGAAAUGCGUAGAGAUCGGGAGGAAUACCAGUGGCGAAGGCGGCCUUCUGGACUGACACUGACACUGAGGUGCGAAAGCGUGGGUAGCAAACAGGAUUAGAUACCCUGGUAGUCCACGCCGUAAACGAUGUCGACCAGCCGUUGGGUGCCUAGAGCACUUUGUGGCGAAGUUAACGCCGAUAAGUCGACC
rnacentral:rRNA from 1 species